GAGUUUGAUCAUGGCUCAGGAUGAACGCUAGCGGUGUGCCUAAUGCAUGCAAGUCGAACGGGAUCCUUUGGAUUCGUCUGAAGGUGAGAGUGGCGAACGGGUGAGUAACACGUAGGUGACCUGCCCCGGAGAGGGGGACAACCGGUGGAAACGCCGGCUAAUACCCCAGAUGUCUUUGCGCUUAGAAAGCAAUGACUAAAGUUCCGGCGCUCCGGGAGGGGCCUGCGGCCCAUCAGCUUGUUGGUAAGGUAAUGGCUUACCAAGGCAAAGACGGGUAGGGGGCGUGAGAGCGUGACCCCCCACACUGGUACUGAGACACGGACCAGAUACCUGCGGGUAGCAGCAGCAAGGAAUAUUGCCCAAUGGACGAAAGUCUGAGGCAGCAACACCGCGUGGAGGAUGAAGGCCUUCGGGUUGUAAACUCCUUUUCUGGGGGAAGAGAAAGGACGGUACCCCAGGAAUAAGUCUCGGCUAACUACGUGCCAGCAGCCGCGGUAC
rnacentral:rRNA from 1 species